rnacentral:rRNA from 1 species
GACGAACGCUGGCGGCGUGCUUAACACAUGCAAGUCGAACGGAAAGGCCCUGCUUUUGUGGGGUGCUCGAGUGGCGAACGGGUGAGUAACACGUGAGUAACCUGCCCUUGACUUUGGGAUAACUUCAGGAAACUGGGGCUAAUACCGGAUAGGAGCUCCUGCUGCAUGGUGGGGGUUGGAAAGUUUCGGCUGUUGGGGAUGGACUCGCGGCUUAUCAGCUUGUUGGUGGGGUAGUGGCUUACCAAGGCUUUGACGGGUAGCCGGCCUGAGAGGGUGACCGGCCACAUUGGGACUGGGAUACGGCCCAGACUCCUACGGGAGGCAGCAGUGGGGAAUAUUGCACAAUGGCGGAAGCCUGAUGCAGCAACGCCGCGUGCGGGAUGACGGCCUUCGGGUUGUAAACCGCUUUCGCCUGUGACGAAGCGUGAGUGACGGUAAUGGGUAAAGAAGCACCGGCUAACUACGUG